CCACAUCGCUUUAUGUCAAAUUAGUUUUUAACCUAAAAAUGGAUUUAAUCUCAACAAUCGUAAUAAUAAUCCUAAUUAAAUCGAUAAAAAGCGAAGAUUGGGAUCGCAAAAGAUGCUGUCCCCGCCGAAGCGAACUCCGUUUACAUUGGAGAAGUUAUUUAAGAAGGAUUUUUACUCCCCGGAUCAAUUUACGUAAAAAUAUCGUCUUGGAAUAUUACGGAAAAUUCGAAGUAACUAAAGAUAUAAAAAUCAUUUCGAUAAUCUUCUUGAAAACCUCGUAAAUACAACCAUCGAAGGAAACGAUUUUAAUUGGUUCUUAAUUUUUGAGUCGAAUUCGAAAUAAAAUUGAGUGAAUAUAAUUAAAGGUUAACAAGUUUAUUGAAACGAUUUGAAAUAACGUUGAUGUUCUUGGGUGAAUAAUUUAAUCCAUUUAAUUUGUUAUGAAAAGGCGUGUAUGGAAGAGAUUUUAAUGGAAAUUAAUCUAAAGAUGCCAUGGAUGCUGAAAAAUCAAUUAAAACGUUAGUUGAGAUUUUUUUUAACUUCGAUAACCAUUAAUUGGACGAAAAGGGUUUUUAUUUUGGAAUAAUACGGAAAAUAAAAAAUAUAAGGAUUUAUCAAGUUGAAUAGAAAAGGCGUUUGUUGAAGAGAUUUUAAUGAAAAUUAACCUAAGGAUACCAUGGAUGCUGGAAAAUCAAUUAAAACCGAGGUUCCUCAAGAUUUUUUUUAACUCCAAUAACCAUUAAUCGGGAAAAAAAGGAUUUUUUUUUCGGAAUAAUAAGGAAAAUAAGGAAUGAAAGGAUUUAUCAAGAAAAACCACUUAUUGAAGAGAUUUUAAUGAAAAUUCACCUAUAAAAUAUCAGAAAUGCUGGAAAAUCUAUUAAAACCGAGGUUCCUCAAGAUUUUUGUUAACUCCUGUAUCUAUUAAUCGGAAGAAAAGGAUUUUUGUUUCGGAAUAACACGGAAAAUAAGAAAUAAAAGGAUUUAUGAAGAAAAGGCGUGUAUUGAAGAGAUUUGAAUGGAAAUUAACCUGACGAUUCCGUGGAUGAUGAAAAAUCAAUUAAAACCAACCUUUGUUGAGAUCUAUUUUUAACUUCGAUAACCAAUAAUCAGAAGCAUUCUUGUUUCGGAAUAAUACGGAAAAUACGAAAUAAAAGGAUUUAUCAAGAAAAGGCGCUUAUUGAUGAGAUUUGAAUGAAAAUUAACCUAAGGAUACCAUGGAUGCUGAAAAGUCAAUAACAAUUAAUCAGAAGAAAAUGGUUUUUGUUUAUAUCUAAUUAGGAAUAGGUAAGGGAUUUUAUUAGGAUUGGAAAUUAAAAUAUUUUAAAGAAAUUCUUUACAUACACUAUUUCUUGAGCUUGGCUUGAUUAUGGUAACAACUUUAUGAUACUACCUUUGACAUGGUUGUAAUUAGGAGCUCAUUUUUAAGGACAAUAAAUUUUAUUUGAAAUAUAAA